UACGUAGGGUGCAAGCGUUAAUCGGAAUUACUGGGCGUAAAGCGUGCGCAGGCGGCUAUGCAAGACAGAUGUGAAAUCCCCGGGCUCAACCUGGGAACUGCAUUUGUGACUGCAUGGCUAGAGUACGGUAGAGGGGGAUGGAAUUCCGCGUGUAGCAGUGAAAUGCGUAGAUAUGCGGAGGAACACCGAUGGCGAAGGCAAUCCCCUGGACCUGUACUGACGCUCAUGCACGAAAGCGUGGGCAGCAAACAGG
rnacentral:rRNA from 1 species